rnacentral:rRNA from 1 species
UACAGAGGGUGCGAGCGUUGUCCGGAAUCACUGGGCGUAAAGGGCGCGUAGGCGGCCACCGCAAGUCACUUGUGAAAUCUCCGGGCUUAACCCGGAAAGGUCAACUGAUACUGCGGGGCUAGAGUGCAGAAGGGGCAACUGGAAUUCUCGGUGUAGCGGUGAAAUGCGUAGAUAUCAGGAGGAACACCGGUGGCGAAGGCGGCUAUCUGGACAGAGUCUGACGCUGAGGCGCGAAAGCUAGGGGAGCAAACAGG